GGUGUGGACAAGGUUU
rnacentral:sRNA from 1 species